rnacentral:rRNA from 1 species
UGGGGGAAUAUUGGGCAAUGGACGAAAGUCUGACCCAGCGACGCCGCGUGAGGGAAGAAGGUCUUCGGAUUGUAAACCUCUGUUGACAGGGAAGAAGGAAGUGACGGUACCUGUCGAGGAAGCCACGGCUAACUACGUGCCAGCAGCCGCGGUAAUACGUAGGUGGCAAGCGUUAUCCGGAAUUACUGGGUGUAAAGGGUGUGUAGGCGGGACUGCAAGUCAGAUGUGAAAACUAUUGGCUUAACCAAUAGCCUGCAUUUGAAACUGUGGUUCUUGAGUGUCGGAGAGGUAAAUGGAAUUCCC